rnacentral:rRNA from 1 species
AGUGAACGCUGGCGGUAGGCCUAACACAUGCAAGUCGAACGGCAGCACAGUAAGAGCUUGCUCUUACGGGUGGCGAGUGGCGGACGGGUGAGGAAUACAUCGGAAUCUACUUUUUCGUGGGGGAUAACGUAGGGAAACUUACGCUAAUACCGCAUACGACCUACGGGUGAAAGCAGGGGAUCUUCGGACCUUGCGCGAUUGAAUGAGCCGAUGUCGGAUUAGCUAGUUGGCGGGGUAAAGGCCCACCAAGGCGACGAUCCGUAGCUGGUCUGAGAGGAUGAUCGCCAACACUGGAAAUGAGAGACGGUCCGGAAUAAGACGGGAGGCAGCAGUGGGGAAGCUUCCGGAAUGGGCGAGAGCCUGACGGAGCAACGCCGCGUGAGUGAUGAAGGUCUUCGGAUCGUAAAACUCUGUUAUUAGGAAAGAACAAAUGUGUACGGAACUCUGCACGUCUUGACGGUACCUAAUCAGAAAGCCACGGCUAACUACGUG